AAUCAACGCUGGCGGCGUGCCUCAGACAUGCAAGUCGAACGCGAAAUUUCCCUUCGGGGAGAAAGUAGAGUGGCGCACGGGUGAGUAACACGUAGGUAAUUUGCCUUUGGGUGGGGAAUAACUCAGGGAAACUUGAGCUAAUACCGCAUAAUGCAGCGGCUCGACAUCGAGACAGUUGUUAAAGCGGGGGAGUUGGAGCAAUCCGACCUCGCGCCUAAAGAGAAGCCUGCGGCAGAUUAGCUAGUUGGUAAGGUAAUGGCUUACCAAGGCGACGAUCUGUAACCGGCCUGAGAGGGCGGUCGGUCACACUGACACUGACAUACGGGUC
rnacentral:rRNA from 1 species